AGUUGAAGAGAAAGGGAGAGGGCCGUGGAUAAGGAGAGAAAAAAGAGAGGGAAAGCUUCAUUGUUUUCAUCAUGAGUUGUAGCAAAGAACUUGGAGGAAUCAAGAGGGGAAAGCCAUAGCACUUCAAUCUUUCACUAAAACUUGAACAAAGAGGUGGUUUGCUCCAAGAAGAACCAAGUUUUUCUUGCUUCUAAGUUCCACCUUUGGUCAAGAGGGGGCGGAGGACCCUGAGGAGCAAGUUGCAGGUCCUGAACUUUCGAUACUUUUGUGUAAAUGGCUUUAGAGAGCAUUUUGUAGCUUUAGUUUUUGUUACACUCAAGGUCGGGUAGUUAACAUGAACGUAAAUUUUGACGGUAUAUACUAAGGUGAUUGUAAAUUAGAAUUUUGUCCUUUGGAAUUGUAAGUGGGGAGUUUGGUUGUAAUGCAAGUACUUUGUUUAUGUAAGUUUAUCUUUUGACUUAACCUUUAAGUUUGGAAUGUUAUUUGGUUUAUUAAUA